GGCUUCAUAGUGGAAAAAAGACGUCAAAUUGCAAAUUUGGAGAUGUAAUGGUUACUGAAGCUU
rnacentral:tRNA from 1 species